UACGUAGGGUGCAAGCGUUGUCCGGAAUUAUUGGGCGUAAAGAGCUCGUAGGCGGCUUGUCGCGUCGGCUGUGAAAACUCAGGGCUCAACCCUGAGCCUGCAGUCGAUACGGGCAGGCUAGAGUCCGGCAGGGGAGACUGGAAUUCCUGGUGUAGCGGUGAAAUGCGCAGAUAUCAGGAGGAACACCGGUGGCGAAGGCGGGUCUCUGGGCCGGAACUGACGCUGAGGAGCGAAAGCGUGGGGAGCGAACAGG
rnacentral:rRNA from 1 species